rnacentral:lncRNA from 10 species
GCUGCCGCGGCGGCGGCGGCGCGACCGAGCAUCCUGGCGGCGCCGGGCCACUGGGAGGCAGUGGCGUGAUCUUGGCUCACUGCAACCUCCGACUCCCUGGUUCAAGCGAUUCUCCUGCCUCAGCCUCCUGAGUGGGGAUUACAGGCUUUGUUUACACUUGGAGCCACCUUGGUGUGGGUCACCGGGACAGUGUACUCCUCUCCUGCCAGCCUCCCCUUCCCCGAGGUGUGGUGGCUGCAGUCUCAGGAAGAGCUUGGUACUUGUGGGGACUUCUGUUUUCUCCCUGUGGAGAUCAGUGAAGACUGGGAGGAAAGCUGCUUCAACCUGAGUCCGGCUCUUCAGCAGGCUGCACAAGUGGAAGCAACUAAUUCUGGUGCUCAGGCUGGGCUCUCCACCCAAGUUAGGCCUGCUCUGGCCUAAUGGAUCUUACUGUAUGAGCAGGACGGCUGCAUUGGAUUGUACAACUGUUUUGUGAUGCCCCCAGACACUGUCAUCCUGGGCCGAGAAGAACCUGCUAGCUUGACAUACCCCAUGGGCUUAUCCUUAGGUUUUGGAAUUGGUCAACAGUGAGGCAGUCUCCCUUCCUGACCAUUCUUCUCCACCCAGUCACAGAUAAGGGAAUAACCUUGGCCAUAUAUUUGCUCAAUAAAGAUUGAAGGAAGCAUGGUCAUAGUUGCCCUGGGUUCAGAGCAUAAUGCAUAUGUGAAGCAUGGGGUGACAUUCCUACUGUCAUGGGUUUGGGAUUUGUAACGGCAAAUUCCUGCCCGACGACAGGGUGUCUUAUGCAAAGGCUGACUUGCCUGAACGCUAAGAACAUGACUUCUGUCUGAGCUAAGCUGGCACCCAUCCCAGGGCUCCUCUGGAGCUAAUCCUUUAAGCAAAAUGUGCUUGCCUUUUAAAGAUCCCUGACCCCAGCUUUAGCUUUCUCCACCAGAUAACCAGCUAAUCCCAGGAAUUUGCUGCCCCCCACCAGUGGCUUCUAGGGAAAGCAAGGACCUCACAUGCCAGGUGCCCUAGUACUUGCUUAGUGAGCCAUGUCAUCCUCCUUUCAUUUUUGGAUGGUGACAGCAUUUUUCCCCUCUGUGCUGGAUACAGACUUCUCCCAGGAUCCUCUCUUUGGGAGCGAAGCCAGAGGAUCCCUACAGCACUCAAGCUUCAUGGUGGAAUUAAUUUCUGCCAGCUCUUUGUUGUCUGUCUCCUUAAAUCCUUUUCCUGGUGUGCUUAUUAUCCCUUUUGCAGUGAGUACAGUUUAUUAAGUUGUCAGCCCUUUAAUAUUGGGGAAACUUAAUGAGUAUAAAUAGCAGGGAGCACAUUGUAACAGCACAGUGUUUUGUUUUUUUCACCCGGUUGCUGUAUGAGAAUGGCUUUCAAUCCUUUGUUUCUAUGCCUACAGACAGAAAGCAAGAUGUCUAAUAUUAGACAUACAAGUUGCUGCCUGUUAUAACGGUGAAUUAUACCUUUGUGCAUGCCUAGGAUGUUUGUUGUUUUAAUUAGCUGCAAUAUAUACGGCCUGUGUACACAGAAUUUAAUCACUUCGGCAGGUUGAACAACUCCAUGUAGAUAAGAGCAAGUGUAGGCAAAGGUUUAGAAAAUGGACAUAAAGUCAAAGAAUGAUGGCAGGUAGGAUGAAGGAGAGAUACUUAGGAAAUCCUAAAAGAGGCGGCAAGAAGGUACCUCCCUGUGUAACUCACCUUCCCCCAUGACAGUGAGUAAGAGACACUCACAGGCUAUGAGGGUACACCCCUAGCUGAAUGUUCUGUGUUGUUUCCUUAGACCUGUGGUGUCCGCUGCAACAGCUACUAGCCACGUGUAGCUAAUUACAUUAAAAUGAAAUAAAAUUAAAAGCUCAGUUUCUCAGUUGCGCUAAUCACAUUUCAAGUGCUCAGCAGCCACCCGUGUCUACUACUACACAGUGCAGACACAGAACAUAUCAUCACUGCAGAUAGUUCUACUGGACAAUGUUACGCUAGAAUAAACACCAAGGCAGUCAGUUAAGGCAGCUAUGGUUUGGAAAGGCAUACGGACAGAGUCUGCUUAGAAGAGAUACAAGUUGUUAAUAAAAUUGAUCCUGUUGAUAGUAGUUUGUUUUUGUGGUGGGUGCUGUGAAGAGUAAACAUUACUCAGUGGAAAGCUAAGUUCAGAAGGUACUUUGUUUUUCCUCCCUUGCCUUAAGUCCUUGGUAUUUAUAAUCAAUGCUGAACCUUCUAUUUCACUACCGCUCCCUGUUUUAGAUAUUCAGAUUUAAAAGGUUUUCAAAGAAUUACUUUCUUCCAUGUUCAAAGCUAGAUUUUACUAAACACAUGUAUCACAUUCAUAUAUAUUGUUUCUUGGCCCCACUGCCAAAGGAAGUCAGUCAGUAAUUUCACAACCGUUAUCAGAGUUUGGAAGCAGAAAUAGCUGUUAACUAAAAUCUCCCACUGCUCAGACUACUUUCUGCCCUAAUGGCCAUUACUAUCCAGUCUGUAUUGCUACAAGGGACCCACUGGUACCCCUUUUAGAUUCUAUCAAAAGGAACAGGGUUUUCCUAGAGGCAGGCAGCCUGGUGGUAUGGCACAGCAGAAGCUUACUGCUAAUGAAAUGGGAACCUCCCCCUCCCUUGUGGUUUCAGCACAGAACCUGAAUGCCAGGAAAAAUUCCUGGGCCAAGAAGCUAAAGCUAAAGAAACCUUCCUUUUUUCAACGUUUUUUUUUCUUUCAAACUGUAGGGUCACUUUUGAUUGAGGCAAAGGGGUCCUACUGUAAGUGGAAAAGACUCACUCCCCUAACAUAAGUUUUCACUGUGGUGGGAUGGUGCCGCCCGAUAUGCUUGAUAUGCUUUUCCUUCCACAUGUUAAGCUAGGAAACCUAACAGGAUGUCAGCAGGGCAGUUAACUCUGGACUCAGAGCCCUCAAGGGCAUGUGGCAGAACCUCAUGGACAUCACAAGACCAUCAGUCUGAAUCCAGGUCGUGGGGGCUGUCAUAGCCGAACUCCUUCUGCACAUCCAGAGGGUACUUGCUCCACAUCCGCUGUCUGCUGCUGCCUCUUUCCUCCUCACUCAGGCUGUUGUAGUCAGCAGAGCCUAGAAUGACAUCCCGGGAGUGGAUUCUAAAUGUGAUUUUCCUAGGCUACUGCAGGAGCCCCUUCUCUUCUCAGAAAGGUCUGUUUUUGUUCCCGAUUGUAAUGCAAAAUCCUUGCUCAAUAAAUAAAAAAGAAUAUAGAAUUCUUUUUUUUUUAAAGAAGGAAUCACUUUCCUAUCAUCUAAACCAAGUUCCUUCACACUGGAGUAUUUUGUCACUUCUCCCCUCCGUGGAGUAUUUUGUCACUUCUCCCCUCCGUAUAGGAUUUUUUGUUGUUGUAAGAGUUGUAGUCAUAUUGUAAAUAUUUUUGUACCUUUCUCCUUUUAACGUGUUAUUGACAAACCUCCCCAAAAGAAUAUGCAAUUGUUUGAUUCAUUUCUCUGUUAUCAGACACCAAUAAAUUCUUUUUGUUGGGC